GCUGAGGACGAAAAUGUGGUUGUGUCUCUGCUUAGGAAUGUAGUUUAGGAAAAGGAGAUUUAGAAUUACUAUUAAAACUAGGAAGUAUAUUUCAAACGCAAGUUUCUUGGGAAGGUAUCUGCUGAACCAAAGGAUAGUUUGGAGGCAGAAGUGAGACCAAAAUAUUUCUUCGAGAUAAUUUUAAUCCCAAAGAUCCAAAGAUGGGAAGAGAAAGACCACCACCCCAAAUCAUCAUGGUAAAAUUAAUUAAAGCAAGCUUUUUUAUUCGUG